UACGGAGGGGGGCUAGCGUUGUUCGGAAUUACUGGGCGUAAAGCGCACGUAGGCGGCUUUGUAAGUUAGAGGUGAAAGCCCGGGGCUCAACUCCGGAAUUGCCUUUAAGACUGCAUCGCUAGAAUUGUGGAGAGGUAAGUGGAAUUCCGAGUGUAGAGGUGAAAUUCGUAGAUAUUCGGAAGAACACCGGUGGCGAAGGCGGGUCUCUGGGGCCGAUACUGACGCUGAGGAGCGAAAGCGUGGGGGAGCGAACAGG
rnacentral:rRNA from 1 species